rnacentral:rRNA from 1 species
GACGAACGCUGGCGGCGUGCUUAACACAUGCAAGUCGAACGGAAAGGCCCUGCUUUUGUGGGGUGCUCGAGUGGCGAACGGGUGAGUAACACGUGAGUAACCUGCCCUUGACUUUGGAAUAACUUCAGGAAACUGGGGCUAAUACCGGAUAGGAGCUCCUGCUGCAUGGUGGGGGUUGGAAAGUUUCGGCGGUUGGGGAUGGACUCGCGGCUUAUCAGCUUGUUGGUGGGGUAGUGGCUUACCAAGGCUUUGACGGGUAGCCGGCCUGAGAGGGUGACCGGCCACAUUGGGACUGAGAUACGGCCCAGACUCCUACGGGAGGCAGCAGUGGGGAAUAUUGCACAAUGGGCGGAAGCCUGAUGUAGCAACGCCGCGUGCGGGAUGACGGCCUUCGGGUUGUAAACCGCUUUCGCCUGUGACGAAGCGUGAGUGACGGUAAUGGGUAAAGAAGCACCGGCUAACUACGUGCCAGCAGCCGCGGUGAUACGUAGGGUGCGAGCGUUGUCCGGAUUUAUUGGGCGUAAAGGGCUCGUAGGUGGUUGAUCGCGUCGGAAGUGUAAUCUUGGGGCUUAACCCUGAGCGUGCUUUCGAUACGGGUUGACUUGAGGAAGGUAGGGGAGAAUGGAAUUCCUGGUGGAGCGGUGGAAUGCGCAGAUAUCAGGAGGAACACCAGUGGCGAAGGCGGUUCUCUGGGCCUUUCCUGACGCUGAGGAGCGAAAGCGUGGGGAGCGAACAGGCUUAGAUACCCUGGUAGUCCACGCUGUAAACGGUGGGUACUAGGUGUGGGGUCCAUUCCACGGGUUCCGUGCCGUAGCUAACGCUUUAAGUACCCCGCCUGGGGAGUACGGCCGCAAGGCUAAAACUCAAAGGAAUUGACGGGGCCCCGCACAAGCGGCGGAGCAUGCGGAUUAAUUCGAUGCAACGCGUAGAACCUUACCUGGGUUUGACAUGGAUCGGGAGUGCUCAGAGAUGGGUGUGCCUCUUUUGGGGUCGGUUCACAGGUGGUGCAUGCCUGUCGUCAGCUCGUGUCGUGAGAUGUUGGGUUAAGUCCCGCAACGAGCGCAACCCUUGUUCACUGUUGCCAGCACGUUAUGGUGGGGACUCAGUGGAGACCGCCGGGGUCAACUCGGAGGAAGGUGGGGAUGACGUCAAGUCAUCAUGCCCCUUAUGUCCAGGGCUUCACGCAUGCUACAAUGGCUGGUACAGAGAGUGGCGAGCCUGUGAGGGUGAGCGAAUCUCGGAAAGCCGGUCUCAGUUCGGAUUGGGGUCUGCAACUCGACCUCAUGAAGUCGGAGUCGCUAGUAAUCGCAGAUCAGCAACGCUGCGGUGAAUAAGUUUCCGGGGCU